GGUCUCAGCAAAGAGUCCCUCCCGACUGUUUACCAAAAACACAGCACUUUGCCAACUCGUAAGAGGAAGUAUAAGGUGUGACGCCUGCCCGGUGCUCGAAGGUUAAGAGGAUGCGUCAGUCGCAAGAUGAAGCGUUGAAUUGAAGCCCGAGUAAACGGCGGCCGUAACUAUAACGGUCCUAAGGUAGCGAAAUUCCUUGUCGGUUAAAUACCGACCUGCAUGAAUGGCGUAACGAGAUGGGAGCUGUCUCAACCAGAGAUUCAGUGAAAUUGUAGUGGAGGUGAAAAUUCCUCCUACCCGCGGCAAGACGGAAAGACCCCGUGGACCUUUACUACAACUUAGCACUGCUAAUGGGAAUAUCAUGCGCAGGAUAGGUGGGAGGCUUUGAAGUAAGGGCUUUGGCUCUUAUGGAGCCAUCCUUGAGAUACCACCCUUGAUGUUUCUGUUAGCUAACUGGCCUGUGUUAUCCACAGGCAGGACA
rnacentral:rRNA from 1 species